GUAUUUUUCCAUCAUAUACAAUUUCGAUUAAUGAUUUGCUUAAAGUGCCGGUAUGUAUAUAUAUACACUUUUGUUUUGUUGUCUGCAUACAUUCCAGCGUGUGGAAUUUCGAGAGGCUUGCAGACAGGCGCAGAAUGGACGGGUGGUCUUUUGAGGAAUUACACACACGUUUUAUUUUGCCCCUUGGAUCGAUGCACAGUGGGUCACUAACGCCAAAAGAUAUCACGUGAUUCCAAUUUCAAUGGAAAUUGUGGUGAUAGAUGAAAGGGACGACUAAUCUGUGUGAAAAAUUCAGUAUAAACCCUUUGAAGAGCGUAAUGGCAAAUGAUGGCAAGUGUAGGUUUUCGAGCAAGGAUGGGGAAUCCAUAUAUAAUAAGAGUACUCGGUGCUUGACUCAGCUUGUUUUGUGAAGAUUAAUCAGAAUUCGUCCCUGAACUUCUGAGCUUGUUAUGAUGUGGUGUGCCUACAGGGCAUAUGGUUCUUCACUGGCCUUUGCUAGUAACCAAGACCAGUUAGUUGAAAGUCUCAUUGUGUGAAUUUUUGGACAUGCGUGUGAAAACGACGAAGGUUUGGAAGCUGCGUGGAAGGAUGCUAAUGUAUAGUCUGUCUAGGUUUUUUUUUUUUUUUUGGUAUAU
rnacentral:misc_RNA from 1 species